CCUACGUGUGGCAGCAGUGAGGAAUAUUGGUCAAUGGGCUUACGCCUGAACCAGCCAAGUCGCGUGAGGGAAGAAUGCCCUAUGAGUUGUAAACCUCUUUUGUCAGGGAGCAAUUGGCGCUACGUGUAGCGUUAUCGAGAGUACCUGAAGAAAAAGCAUCGGCUAACUCCGUGCCAGCAGCCGCGGUAAUACGGAGGAUGCGAGCGUUAUCCGGAUUUAUUGGGGUUAAAGGGGGCGUAGGCGGUUAAUUAAGUCAGCGGUGAAAGUUUGUGGCUCAACCAUAAAAUUGCCGUUGAAACUGGUUGACUUGAGUAUAUUUGAGGUAGGCGGAAUGCGUGGUGUAGCGGUGAAAUGCAUAGAUAUCACGCAGAACUCCGAUUGCGAAGGCAGCUUACUAAACUAUAACUGACACUGAAGCACGAAAGCGUGGGGAUCAAACAGGAUUAGAUACCCCUGUAGUC
rnacentral:rRNA from 1 species